GUGGGAGCCCUUUCAAGUGGACUUCUGAGUCUUUUUGGCAUGUGUCCAUAAUUUUAGCAGAACCACAAUUACUCCAGCCUCAUCUUUUACUUUCUUGGCCUCAGCCCUAGGAAUCAACCAUUUCUCCAAGAACAUCUUUUCUUUUGAGUAGCAAAUGGAAUUAAGAAACCAAUAUUUGGGUGCUAGCUGCUAUUGGGUUAUCUCUUCUCACAGAUCCUCCCAUAAUAUAUAUGGAUAUUUUCAUCUGUAUUGAUUUCUAUAUGUAUCAAAAUACAUUGAAAACCAUGAGAUCUCAUCAAUAAUUCAACAUCCAAUCCAACACCACAGAGAAGGAAAGGAAGGAAAAUAGAAAGAAAGGAAAGGGAAUAGGUAGGGUAAAGAAGGAGAGUGAAAGGAAGGGAAGAGAAGGGGGAAAAAAAGGAAAGGGGAAGAGAAGAAAAAGGAAAGGAGAAGUGGAAUUCAAUGAAGUUUAGAAUAUCCUUUUAGAAAAGCUUAGAGGAAAAGCAGGAAUUCACAUUCACAACCAUAAAUGAAGGCACAGAGAAAGUUUUUGAAAGAGAAAUGAGUGAGAAGGGUAGAAGUUUUACUGAUUCUUUUUUUUUUUUCAGAUAGCAGAUACUCUGAGCUUUUUAGAGCUGUUAACAAUGAUCAUGUCUCUAUGACAUGGUUGAUCUGGAUGGAAGACAACUAAUAUGGUACUUUUGCCUUUUGAAAAUGUAUGUGGUUGUUGUUAGAUCACCAAAAUAAUACUGGAGGAAUAAUUGUUUUUCAGUAACAGUAAUCUUUCCCUCUCCAGUUUUGUUUUUGGCUCUAUUAUAGCAUUUGAAUCAAAUUAUGAACACGUACUAAUGCCUUGUAUGUUAUAGGCUAGAAAUUGGGGAUACAAACAUGAGUAAAAACUAUAUUCAAGAAGUUUACAGAUGAAUAGAGAAGAGACAUAACAGUAAAUAGACCACUGUGAUUUAACUGUAAUUGGAUGUUAGCUGUUCUGACAGAGUACUUCCCAUGUGUAAAGUAGUGUGCUUUAAACUUCCCUGGCACAUUGGUCCCAGUUUAUGUGCAUCCCCAGAUCCAUACCACUCUGCCUGUUCCCCACCUCAGUAAUGUCCAUUGCUUCUUGGUCAGAGGGGACCUCUCAAAAUCUCGCUUCAUUCACGUGGCCAUAAAAUCCUGCCUGCUGCCCUGCCAUAGGCCCGGUAGCCCUCACUUGUCGUGCCAACUGGUAAAAGGAGACCAUUCUACCCUUGUGGUGGUCAGACUAAACCCACAGAGGUUACAGCUUCCCCAUUAGUUGCUAGACAAAAUAACUUAACCUUUACUUGUGGGGGAGUAAGUGACUUGACCGAUGGAAGACAGGAGUGUAGAAGGAGCCACAGAAAAAUUGCUCAUCUAUCUUGUCCUGACUCAGUGAUUUAUGACAGAUCAGUUUUCCCUCACAUGACUGAACAACUGGCUUUGUUGUAUUGCAACACUGUGCUUACUUCUGUAACGCGCCACCUUGUGAAUAUGUUCUCUCCUUACCUGCCUCGUUCCUCUUUUCUUCUUCAUUUGACUUCACCCUUGCCUCUCUAGGAUUUUACCUUCAAAUAAUAAAUUCACACAAAAACGUUUGCAUCACUUAUAUAUUCCAGGAAACACAGGCUAAGAGAAGUUGCAUUAACUCAACUCUCAUCACAAUCUUCUGCACUUGGCAUAAACUAUUAAUGUCACCUCUUAGGCUCAUAUUUUUUGACUUCAG
rnacentral:lncRNA from 10 species